UGGCAGAGGCAUCUUUGCAAUUGAAAUGCUCCAGUUGCUAAUGGGCAAACUGGAGAGCGCUGAAGACACCCCCGCCAGAAGCAACUGCCUCGAUGAGGAAGGGAGCGACAAUCUGGCUGCGCUGGAGCCUCUCAUGGUAACCUGUGCCCUCCGUGAGCUGGUGUAUUCCCUGGAGCCCCGGGAAAGUGUGUCUCUCCUGCUGCCACGGCUGUUUCCAAUGCUGCUGAAACAAAUCAGCAACACUCUUGGAAAGGAGCUGCCUUCAUCUGCAGGAAGAGUUGAAGACGAGCCAGUCCUUGUGGCAAGUGGUGAAGGCAGCAGUCCUUGCAGGCUUUCCAUCAAAGCAUUAGAUACUGUGCUCUGCAAGUGCAUCAGUGAGAAAUGCAUGGGGAUUCUCCGGAAGCAGAACACAUGGGCUUUUCUUGAAAAUCCCC